CAGGAUUAAAAUGUGUGAACCUUUAUACUAAGGUUGCUGUUGCUUCCAAAUUUCCCCUUUGUGGGACAAUAAAAGCUAUUUCAAUUUUUUUCCAUUUUAAAUCAGAAUGAACAACUAAUUGAAUUGUAUUAAUGCAUAAACUUAUAACUUUACUUGCACACAUGCUGCAUUACUUAGAUUAAUCUUACAGUAAAAGCACCAAGAAUUUCUAAUCCUGUAUAUCUCAACCACCGCAGUUCUGCUCCAUCACCACUGAGCCACUGAUCAUCAAGCCACCGCCCUUCUACACCAUCUCCAGGAAGCCACCACCAUUUAUUACACUCUUCAUCUUUUCUGUUGAAGACAUGGAAGCUGAACUUGGUGACAAACCCGAACUUCACAAGCAACUGAUCUGCAGCCGAACUGCGGGAGGAGAAUCCAACCCCAGCGGGGUUUAAAGCCGCUGCAGCCCAAGGAGAGGUGACCUGCUGUGGCCACCAGCCUCUGUUCACGCCAGUUUAACGCUGUGACUCACCAGACUCUCGGUCCCUCCUUCCCCCUGGCCCGCAUCCGGUCUGGCAAUGAUGGCGCGGUUCACAUGAGGCAUGCCGUACCUGGACCAGUGAUGGCUUAGCUUCCUGUCAGCCACUCAUACCAAAUACGGGCCAGUUAUGGAAGUAGCGAUGUCAACCAUGUGACAUGUGAUAAUCAUUUCUCAUAAGUGUAAAAAUUUAUAUUUACCAUUUGAAAGGACAGGAAAAAAACACAAAGAAAAUCAAAAGAAUAACAUGGCCAGUUUAUGGACAAUAACUAUCAACUUAAGAAUUGUAUUUUUUUAUUUCCCAAGAUUGUACAAAUUCAACAUUCAAAAUUGAUCCCAAGGGUAGGAUAAAUGGCUCCCAGUCUGUAAGUUUUUCAUAUCUAUCUUCU